GGACAUGUAAUGUAAAAUGGUAUAAUGUAAUGUAAUGUAGAGAAAUGUUUCAUGGUUUAGUAUUGUGCUUGGCCCUAUCAGUAGUGGUAAUCCCUUUUUUUGUACAUGAUCUAUAUGCAAUGUUUUAAUGAUGAGAAAUGUUGAACCAAGCUUGAUGUAUGUUAUGUUGACCCACUAGAGCAUUUGAUGAGGGCUCUAAUAUGG
rnacentral:lncRNA from 1 species